CCGCCUUCCGCCAGCCUGCUGUUGACGUGGAGCAGGCGGCAUAAAUCAAGUCUAUGGGGCAUGGAGGCUGCUGUGGCGGCUGCAGCUCAGCUUGCCCGGGGCGGGAACUCCUCUUUCUUUCGCCUCCCAGCGCCCACACCCUGCCUUCUACCUAAUUCUUCCCUGGAUAAUAGCUCCCUAACGACAGCAGUCAUGAUAAUAAGGUCAGAACGACAGGGUUGGUUUGUUUUGAUCUACAGAAUGAAAAAAAAAAAAAAAAAAAAAAACCCAGCAGCCUAAACAUCUCUGAAAACUGCACCGCAAAAUGGAAGAGACAGAGGGUCCCACUACUGUUUCAAAAGAGAACCAUGAAAGCCAAAUGCAGAGGGUGGUAGUACCAUUAGCUGAAUGGAGCUGGGUCCUUGACAACAUUGCUUGGAGGAGACACCAGGAAGGCCUCACAAAUCCAGCUGGACUGUUACGUGAGAAAUAGACUUGUAUUGUGUAAAGCCACUAUAAUUUGAGGGCUGUUUGUUGUAACUAUUAGCAUCAAUUACCUUUAUAUGGUUCAACUGGCUUCAACUUGGAUAUCAGAUAUAAUCACAGACUAUUAGAACUU